GUCCGCUGAGUGAGGGAGCAUGCUCCAUCCGAAGGAUCCAAGGCCCGGCUGAGCAAGAAAACUGACUUUCUGAUGGGGAAGCAAAGGGAAGCUGCAAGAGUGGUCAUGCGCCUGUCCCCAGCAGUGCUGGCACGUCGUUUCGGGUACCUGGAGCAGCCAGUAGAGAGUGCAGAACAGUUCCCGUGGUGCCAAAAAGCACAACAAUGAAGGAAAGCAAACCUCUCUCCCACACUGCAAGAACAAGAACUUCUGAGGGAAGCUUGACUGAGGACCUCAGAGAUGACCUUGGGAGCACAGCCUCCUUCUUUAUUAUUGGUGGCAGAACAGUUGCGAAGAAUUAGGAAGCAUCCAAGAAAAACUAAAGAGGACUUUAUGCAUGAGGUUAUGAUGCACUCUGCCGCCAAGAAAAAGGAAUUGAAGGAGCGGUGGGACAACGAGAAGAGGGAACGAAAGGAGAACGUGGCACACCAAAAAGAAGCCCGGGAGCAGCUCUUAACAGUUAUGGAGUGCCAAGUGGACACGCUCCAGCUCUUCAAACCGAGCAGCUCCAUGCCCGCCCUCCCCUGCAGCCGCUGUUGCAAAACUCUUUCCCAUGCGCCCGCCCACCCCCACCGCCAACACACUCUUAUCAACCUCCUGGUUCCACUCUCUACCCGCAGCAUUCCAGUCCUCCCUCCUCCCAGUUCAGCAGUGUGGACUCCCACUCUCCACUGCACUCAACACCCAUCCAUCUGCAGUUUGGCCCUGCUGAAUUACAGCACCCACUGCAUCGUGCUCCAAAGGAGAAGGUUGGGUAUGAUCCCUGGACAUACACAAAUCUGUAGCCGUCCCGGGACCCCUCCUCCUCUUGAGCUCUUCCAUUCCCCCAUUCCUUCCAUUCCCCCAUCCGCCUCCCUGG